rnacentral:rRNA from 1 species
AUUGAACGCUGGCGGCAGGCUUAACACAUGCAAGUCGAGCGAGCGGCGGACGGGUGAGUAAUGUCUGGGAAACUGCCUGAUGGAGGGGGAUAACUACUGGAAACGGUAGCUAAUACCGCAUACCAUCAGAUGUGCCCAGAUGGGAUUAGCUAGUAGGUGGGGUAAUGGCUCACCUAGGCGACGAUCCCUAGCUGGUCUGAGAGGAUGACCAGCCAGACUGGAAGUGAAACACGGUCCAGACUCCUACGGGAGGCAGGAGUGGGAAAAAUUGCACAAUGGGGGCAAGCCUGAUGCAGCCAAGCGGCGUGGUUGAAGAAGGCCUUGGGGUUGUAAAGCACUUUGAGCGAGGAGGCGUUACUCGCAGAAGAAGCAACGGCUAACUCCGUGCCAGCAGCCGCGGUAAUUC